rnacentral:rRNA from 1 species
AGUGAACGCUGGCGGUAGGCCUAACACAUGCAAGUCGAACGGCAGCACAGUAAGAGCUUGCUCUUACGGGUGGCGAGUGGCGGACGGGUGAGGAAUACAUCGGAAUCUACUUUUUCGUGGGGGAUAACGUAGGGAAACUUACGCUAAUACCGCAUACGACCUACGGGUGAAAGCAGGGGAUCUUCGGACCUUGCGCGAUUGAAUGAGCCGAUGUCGGAUUAGCUAGUUGGCGGGGUAAAGGCCCACCAAGGCGACGAUCCGUAGCUGGUCUGAGAGGAUGAUCAGCCACACUGGAACUGAGACACGGUCCAGACUCCUACGGGAGGCAGCAGUGGGGAAUAUUGGACAAUGGGCGAAAGCCUGAUCCAGCCAUACCGCGUGGGUGAAGAAGGCCUUCGGGUUGUAAAGCCCUUUUGUUGGGAAAGAAAAGCAGCAGGUUAAUACCCCGCUGUUCUGACGGUACCCAAAGAAGAAGCACCGGCUAACUUCGU